GCCAGGUGUGGUGGUGCACACCUGUAGUCCCAGCUACUUAGGAGGCUGAGGCAAGGGGGUUCCUUGAGCCCAGGAGGUUGAGGCUGGCUGCAAUGAGCUAGGAUCACACCACUUCUCUCCACCCUGGGCAACAUAGCAAAACUUUGUCUCUA
ensembl:misc_RNA Metazoa_SRP Metazoan signal recognition particle RNA